GGCGAACGCUGGCGGCGUGCUUAACACAUGCAAGUCGAACGGAAAGGCCUCAGCUUGCUGGGGUACUCGAGUGGCGAACGGGUGAGUAACACGUGGGUGAUCUGCCUUGCACUCUGGGAUAAGCUUGGGAAACUGGGUCUAAUACCGGAUAUGAACUGCCUUUAGUGUGGUGGUUGGAAAGUUUUUUCGGUGCAAGAUGAGCUCGCGGCCUAUCAGCUUGUUGGUGGGGUAAUGGCCUACCAAGGCGUCGACGGGUAGCCGGCCUGAGAGGGUGUACGGCCACAUUGGGACUGAGAUACGGCCCAGACUCCUACGGGAGGCAGCAGUGGGGAAUAUUGCACAAUGGGCGGAAGCCUGAUGCAGCGACGCCGCGUGGGGGAUGACGGCCUUCGGGUUGUAAACUCCUUUCGACAGGGACGAAGCUUUUUGUGACGGUACCUGUAUAAGAAGCACCGGCUAACUACGUG
rnacentral:rRNA from 1 species